rnacentral:rRNA from 1 species
AUCGAACGCUGGCGGCAGGCCUAACACAUGCAAGUCGAGCGGUAGCACAGAGAGCUUGCUCUCGGGUGACGAGCGGCGGACGGGUGAGUAAUGUCUGGGAAACUGCCUGAUGGAGGGGGAUAACUACUGGAAACGGUAGCUAAUACCGCAUAACGUCGCAAGACCAAAGUGGGGGACCUUCGGGCCUCAUGCCAUCAGAUGUGCCCAGAUGGGAUUAGCUAGUAGGUGGGGUAAUGGCUCACCUAGGCGACGAUCCCUAGCUGGUCUGAGAGGAUGACCAGCCACACUGGAACUGAGACACGGUCCAGACUCCUACGGGAGGCAGCAGUGGGGAAUAUUGCACAAUGGGCGCAAGCCUGAUGCAGCCAUGCCGCGUGUAUGAAGAAGGCCUUCGGGUUGUAAAGUACUUUCAGCGAGGAGGAAGGCGUUAAGGUUAAUAACCUUGGCGAUUGACGUUACUCGCAGAAGAAGCACCGGCUAACUCCGUGCCAGCAGCCGCGGUAAUACGGAGGGUGCAAGCGUUAAUCGGAAUUACUGGGCGUAAAGCGCACGCAGGCGGUCUGUUAAGUCAGAUGUGAAAUCCCCGGGCUCAACCUGGGAACUGCAUUUGAAACUGGCAGGCUUGAGUCUUGUAGAGGGGGGUAGAAUUCCAGGUGUAGCGGUGAAAUGCGUAGAGAUCUGGAGGAAUACCGGUGGCGAAGGCGGCCCCCUGGACAAAGACUGACGCUCAGGUGCGAAAGCGU